UACGUAGGUGGCAAGCGUUUGUCCGGAAUUAUUGGGCGUAAAGCGCGCGCAGGUGGUUUCUUAAGUCUGAUGUGAAAGCCCACGGCUCAACCGUGGAGGGUCAUUGGAAACUGGGGAACUUGAGUGCAGAAGAGGAAAGUGGAAUUCCAAGUGUAGCGGUGAAAUGCGUAGAGAUUUGGAGGAACACCAGUGGCGAAGGCGACUUUCUGGUCUGUAACUGACACUGAGGCGCGAAAGCGUGGGGAGCGAACAGG
rnacentral:rRNA from 1 species